rnacentral:rRNA from 1 species
CUAUUAUGGAGAGUUUGAUCCUGGCUCAGGACGAACGCUGGCGGCGUGCCUAAUACAUGCAAGUCGAGCGGAUUUAUCCUUCGGGAUAAGUUAGCGGCGGACGGGUGAGUAACACGUAGGUAACCUGCC